AUCGCACUUUGGAAACGCGCCUAUUCUUUGGCAUAUAACAACUUCUCACUUAGUCGAGCUUCGAAUCGGAAGGAUUUUGCAUUUUCAACAUCAAUGGAGGUUCCUCAUCCUCUCUCCUCUUCACUUCUCCCACCUCCACCCAUCAUCCCUCCUCCUCCUCUCUCUCGCCUACUCCACGCCUCUCUCUCUCUCUCCUCCUGCUCCCACACUCACUUCAGAGCCCGACCCAUGUCUUCUUUCCCCCACAAAACCCUUUCUGUCCAUUCCAUUUACGGCUUGCUCUUCUGAGAUCGCCAUUAUGACUGUUGGUGAAGAGUCUUCAAGAUGGAGAAACCCUCCAUUCACCAGAUUCUCCGUAAAGUUUCCAUCUUUUCCAACAUAUACAACUAACAUUUGCGUACAUUUGCGUGUAUAGAGAGUUAAUUUUUUGAAUUUUUGCUGGUACUUCUUGUGGGUAUGGUGAGUUUAUUUCAGGAAAGAUAGAAUUCCCUUUCUCAAUAGUAAAAGAGGUGGCAGUAAGAAGGUUAAAUUACCAUAACGCAAUGCUCUUUUCGUCGAUGGAAUUUGGAAAAAGAUUCUUGAUUUAUUCUGGCACAUGCAACAAUUAAUACCCACUCUAUGUCUUUUGCUUCAUUUGUUGAGCCAUGAGAGGACAUUUGCUUUGGGUGAAUUUUGUUCUUUUCUGAACUUAGGCUCCGUUCCAGUAAGGUUGUUAUUUUUUAAGUACUUGUUUUCCGCUUUACAAAACAGGUUAUUCUCUCACAAUAUAUCACUUCUAGUUAAAAGAUAACUGUCGGUUUUUGUUUUGGUUUUGGUUUUAGUUUUAAGUUUCGGUUCUGGUAUUACCAAUACCCGAAACUGAACAGCACCGCGCCAUCACGGGUGGUCCAAUCCGAAUAGUCAGAUACGUAGCUGUCAUCAAGUCUUGAUCUGCUGGGGCAAAACAUUCAAAUGGUGUCGUCCAAAAGAUAACCUUAUCAAACCCAUGCUUAUUGAAAACAGACGUGCUUAUAGUAUGCCUGAGUAAUUGGAUUUGGCGGGUCCGAAAAUGAACCGUUGAGAAUUUGAUUAGCAACCCAGAAGUUUGCAGCUUCGGAGUAGUGAACACCAUCCCAGCUGAUGACUGUUGAUGGAUCUUCGCAAGAACCGCCAAAUACUUCAGCCCCGUUUAUGUUCACCUUACUGCCACACCCGACGCUGAUACCAUUCCCGUAAUGCCCGCAGCAGAUGUUGAACGGGUCCAAAAAUCCUGAAAUUUAUCAAAAACAAUUCGAGUUCAACGAAGGAUCUUGACCCUUGUCUGUUAAACACCUCAGCAAUGUUUGAAUUAAGGACAGCGAGCUGACCAGCUUGUUGCUUCUAGUUUUGAAUCUAAAACACAACUGGGGAUGAUGUGAAUUUGUAGUUGGUAUGGUUUCAAGGGAUCACCUUGAUUCUUUGCGUCGUUGAUUAGUCGAUACUUUGCAGCGUACAUAUCGACAUAUGUUAGUGCAGCUUGAGGGAGAUCUGCCCUUAGUUGAGUCACUGCAUCCUUGAGCUGUUUAUUGAACUCUACAGCAGCAGCAUUCCAACCCUUGAUGCAGCCGUGCUCAUCGAGAUAUCCAGGCUUUGGAUUUUGGAUAUUCACUGUGGCUAAAGGCAAACAACCGAUCGGGCCUGUGUUAUGUAUCCAGAAUGCUCUUGCUCCUUCUUGAUACAGUUGCUGUCAAUUAAGAGCAAUAUCACAUACAACAGGUGUUGUGAAACUAUUUUCAGUUUUUUCCCAUCAAAGAUUUGGACUUACUUGGACUGCUGCAGAAAACUUGUUCACUAUGUCUGGUAUUUCAGCUCGAAAUUGUUCAUCGUUCAUAUUCCUAAAACCCACCACGAGAUCAUUCUGUCCGAUAUCAAUUGUGUAAAGAGCCUUUGAGAAGUCCUCGGGUAUGGGGAGAUUGCUUCUCUGGGAUAUUUCAGUAUCGGCUGAAAAUCGUUUCAUUAAUUACACCAUAGCAUUAUUAGAUCAAAA